rnacentral:sRNA from 1 species
GCCAGGUGUGGUGGUGCACACCUGUAAUCCCAGAUACUCAGGAGGCAGGAGGAUCACAAGUUCAAGGCCAGCCCGGCAACUUAGGGAGACCCUGU